AUGUAUGUCUUUUCAUUCAAUACAUGUAAAUUUACAAAUCUUAAUACAUCUGGUUCUUGCCCCACAGAUCAUCUAUCACAUAUUGUGGGCUCUUGUAAAGCACUGAGUCUUCAAGUCAUAAAGUCACUGCCUUUACUUAUUUUUAAAUCCGCUCUGGGAAAAAAAAAAAAAAAAAAAGCAAUCUACGCCCACCCCACUCCCCACCUCCUUCCACCAUCUAAAUCACUACCAAAAACAAAGCAAAACAAAACAAUUAUUCAACAGUCAGGAGCUAUCCUUUCAGUGCAAGGUACUACAUGAGUAUAAGAAACAGUCAUGUUGAAGAAGAAACUGUCAGUAUGAAGAUGAAACAGUCUUCUUCUGGAGAAUUUAGUGAUCUAGUACAGACUUGAAAAAUGAUUCAGUGAAAAAACUUACUGACUUCACCAUAUGUUUGCAGAAUUACUAAACAAGCAUCACAGACAGCAAAAAUAAAUAAAUAAAUAAACAUACCUAUUUUUGAGAG
rnacentral:lncRNA from 1 species